GGGCGGGUGCCCGAGUGGACAAAGGGGGCUGACUGUAGAUCAGCUGGCUUGAACGCCUUCGGAGGUUCGAAUCCUUCCCCGCCCACCA
rnacentral:tRNA from 1 species